rnacentral:rRNA from 1 species
GCCUGGGAAACUGGGUCUAAUACCGGAUAGGACCACGGGAUUCAUGUCCUGUGGUGGAAAGCUUUUGCGGUGUGGGAUGGGCCCGCGGCCUAUCAGCUUGUUGGUGGGGUAACGGCCUACCAAGGCGACGACGGGUAGCCGGCCUGAGAGGGUGUCCGGCCACACUGGGACUGAGAUACGGCCCAGACUCCUACGGGAGGCAGCAGUGGGGAAUAUUGCACAAUGGGCGCAAGCCUGAUGCAGCGACGCCGCGUGGGGGAUGACGGCCUUCGGGUUGUAAACCUCUUUCACUAUCGACGAAGGUUCGGGUUUUCUCGGAUUGACGGUAGAUGGAGAAGAAGCACCGGCCAACUACGUGCCAGCAGCCGCGGUAAUACGUAGGGUGCGAGCGUUGUCCGGAAUUACUGGGCGUAAAGAGCUCGUAGGUGGUUUGUCGCGUUGUUCGUGAAAUCUCACGGCUUAACUGUGAGCGUGCGGGCGAUACGGGCAGACUAGAGUACUGCAGGGGAGAUUGGAAUUCCUGGUGUAGCGGUGGAAUGCGCAGAUAUCAGGAGGAACACCGGUGGCGAAGGCGGGUCUCUGGGCAGUAACUGACGCUGAGGAGCGAAAGCGUGGGGAGCGAACAGGAUUAGAUACCCUGGUAGUCCACGCCGUAAACGGUGGGUACUAGGUGUGGGUUUCCUUCCUUGGGAUCCGUGCCGUAGCUAACGCAUUAAGUACCCCGCCUGGGGAGUACGGCCGCAAGGCUAAAACUCAAAGGAAUUGACGGGGGCCCGCACAAGCGGCGGAGCAUGUGGAUUAAUUUCGAUGCAACGCGAAGAACCUUACCUGGGUUUGA